rnacentral:rRNA from 1 species
AUACGUAGGGUGCAAGCGUUAAUCGGAAUUACUGGGCGUAAAGCGUGCGCAGGCGGCUUUGUAAGACAGAGGUGAAAUCCCCGGGCUCAACCUGGGAACUGCCUUUGUUACUGCAAGGCUAGAGUACGGCAGAGGGGGAUGGAAUUCCGCGUGUAGCAGUGAAACGCGUAGAUAUGCGGAGGAACACCGAUGGCGAAGGCAAUCCCCUGGGCCUGUACGGACGCUCAGGCACGAAAGCGGGGGGAGCAAACAGGAUUAGAUACCCUGGUAGUCCACGCCCUAAACGAUGUCAACUGGUUGUUGGGUCUUAACUGACUCAGUAACGAAGCUAACGCGUGAAGUUGACCGCCUGGGGAGUACGGCCGCAAGGUUGAAACUCAAAGGAAUUGACGGGG